CGGUGUCAUGAUUGCUCAUAGUAAGACUACUGUAAUUUGACUACACAUUAACAUUAACUUGAUCAUGAGUUUUUAUAGUGGAUGUUGGCUUCAGUUGGUUGAGCUGUGAGAGCAACGUGUGUAUCUAUAUGGGAUCUAUCAAUCUUGAUAGAGAGUAGUCUUAUGAGAUUUUAGAAGCUGAAUCCACAAGUCUACAGCCAUAGCAGUGUGAUUAAUAGAAAGAAGUUUUUAUUUAAAAUUAUUAUUGAACUUGAGCUAAUAAUAUCUAUCAUACGACUGAUGAUGAGGUUUGAUGAUUUAUCUAUAACCUACCAUCUAGUCAAAACUCAUGAUAAAAGGACUGUAUCAUACAUUAACUAUAUCUAAAACUUUUAUUUCGAUUCUACUAGAUUGCCACUACAUAUUG
rnacentral:lncRNA from 1 species